ensembl:lncRNA
UCUGGGGCGACCUUAGAGCAGCCUUCAGUAGGUCCCUGAAGGGGACCUACAGGAAAGCUGGGGAGGGACUUUUUAUCAGGGCACGUAGCAACAGGAUGAGGGGAAAUGGUUUUAAACUGGAAGAGGGUGGAUUUAGACUAGAGGUUAGGAAGAAAUGCUUUCCUGUGAGGGGAGUGAGGCACUGGAACAGGUUGCCCAGCAAGGCUGUGGAUGCCCCCUCCCCGGAGCAUUCAAGGCCAGGCUGAAUGGGGCUGUGAGCAACCUGGUCUAGAGCAGGGACGGGGAGAACAAGAUGGUCCCUUAAGGUCCCUUCCAACUCAAAACAGCCUCUGAUUCUACGAGAAGCUGUGCAUCAGAAGGGCUCCUUCUAGCUCAGGAAGGGCUCGAACGAGGUGGUGGCUCUGAGGCGGGUGGGCGGAGCGAGUAGUGCCGGUGGCAGCCGCCAUUUUCGGGCAGAGCUCGAGGAGAUGAGCUUCGUGGUGGAGCGUUAUUCUAACGGACUGUUCUUCAAGGGUCCGAAUCGCGGCAAAAAAAACAAGACGAGGGAGCACUAAGAAGCCGAGGGAGACCAUGGCAGAGCUCCCAGCCCUCCCCCGUCCCGCAGCGUGGCGGCUCUGACGCGUGUGGGCGGAGAGAGGAGUGCCGGCACUUGAGUAGCGCCUAGGGGCUGCCUUGGUCUCGCACGCCUGUGAGCUGCUGCGAAAAGGAACGCGGCGACACAAACAGAAAGCGCGGAUGUCCGUGCAGUGGUUCCGGUCGUGCCUGAGCCUGUCGCUGCUCCAGGAGGGCAGCAGGGAUAGCACCUGUGCGCGCUCCGAGCAGGAGUCAGCAGUGUUUUCUGACAGCCUGCAAAAGUCAGGCCGAGAGGAUGGCUGUGGGGACUGGCAGAGUAAGGCAGCGAGCCGGGAGAAAGCGGAAUAGAGAACACCCUUCAGACUCGGGCUUGGAUUCUCAGAAAGAUAUUCAGUUGAUCUUCAAUCACAACUUGAGGCCAUUCCCUCUAGUCCUAUUGAAGAAGAAUUGUCUUGGGACGCACAUAGCAAUGAACAAGAACCUGAGUGCUGCGCUCAUAACAGUCUGCACCAGCGGAGGUGUCCCAGUGUCACUGUC